rnacentral:ncRNA from 1 species
AUAAAUUUUAGUGUUAAUUUUGAAUUAUUUAAAUAAUAAUUUAUAUAUUUAAGUAGUAAUUAAUUUUAAAUUAUUUAAGAAAUUAGGAUUUAGUAAUACUUUAAUUAAUAACAAAUUUUGUGCCAGCAGUUGCGGUUAUACAAAAAUUAAAUUAAAUUUUAUUGAUAAUUAAUAAAUAAUUUUUUUUUAUAUAAUAAAAAUUUUAAAUUAUUAGGUGAAAUUUUAAUUUAAUAAAAUUUUAUAUAGUAUUUAUGAUUUAAUAAAUUUUAUAAAAAACUAGGAUUAGAUACCCUAUUAUUAAAAUUUAAAAUUAAAAUAUCAAAAUAGUAAAUAAUUAUUUAUUGAAACUUAAAUAAUUUGGCGGUAUUUUAGUUCAUUUAGAGGAAUCUGUUUAAUAAUUGAUAAUCCACGAAUAAAUUUACUUAAUUUAUUAUUUUGUAUAUCGUUGUUAAAAAAAUAUUUUUUAAUAAAGUUAAUAUUUAAAAAUUAUUAUAUAAAUUUAAAUCAGAUCAAGAUGCAGAUUAUAAUUAAGAAUAUAAUGGAUUACAAUAAAUUUAUUUAAAUGAAUUUUAAUUUGUAAUAAUUAAUUGAAAGUGGAUUUAAAUGUAAUUUUAUUUAAUUUAAUAAAAUGAUUUAAAAUUAAAAUAUGUACAUAUUGCCCGUCGCUUUCAUAUAAUAAUAAAUUGAAAUAAGUCGUAACAAAGUAGAGGUACUGGAAAGUGUUUCUAGAAAGAA